rnacentral:sRNA from 1 species
GCCGGGCGUGGUGGCGUAUGCCUGUAAUCCCAGCUACUUGGGAGGCUGAGGCAGGAGAAUCACAUGAACCCAGGAGGCGGAGGUUGCAGUGAGCCAAGAUUGGCCAUUGCACUCCAGCCUGGGCAACAGUGCGAGACUCCAUCUCGA